rnacentral:rRNA from 1 species
GACGAACGCUGGCGGCGUGCCUAAUACAUGCAAGUAGAACGCUGACUACUUUAGCUUGCUAGAGUAGAAGGAGUUGCGAACGGGUGAGUAACGCGUAGGUAACCUGCCUACUAGCGGGGGAUAACUAUUGGAAACGAUAGCUAAUACCGCAUAACAGUGUUUAACACAUGUUAGAUGCUUGAAAGAUGCAAUUGCAUCACUAGUAGAUGGACCUGCGUAGUAUUAGCUAGUUGGUGGGGUAAAGGCCCACCAAGGCGACGAUACAUAGCCGACCGGAGAGUGAGAGCGGACAAACUGGGACGGAGAAACUGCACAGACUCCUACGGGAGGUAGAAGUAGGGAAUCUUCGGCAAUGGGGGCAACCCUGACCGAGCAACGCCGCGUGAGUGAAGAAGGUUUUCGGAUCGUAAAGCUCUGUUGUAAGAGAAGAACGUGUGUGAGAGUGGAAGGUUCACACAGUGACGGUAACUUACCAGAAAGGGACGGCUAACUACGUGCCAGCAGCCGCAGUAA